GGGCUUUAGCGCAGCGUUCCAUGCAGUCGAACGGCAGCACGGGUGCUUGCACCUGGUGGCGAGUGGCGAACGGGUGAGUAAUACAUCGGAACAUGUCCUGUAGUGGGGGAUAGCCCGGCGAAAGCCGGAUUAAUACCGCAUACGAUCUACGGAUGAAAGCGGGGGACCUUCGGGCCUCGCGCUAUAGGGUUGGCCGAUGGCUGAUUAGCUAGUUGGUGGGGUAAAGGCCUACCCAAGGCGGGAACGAUCCAGUAGCUUGGUCUGGAAGAGGAACGACCCAAGCCAACACUGGGGGACUGGAGACACCGGCCCCCAGACUUCCUUACGGGGAGGCCAGCCAGUGGGGGAAUUUUUGGACCAAUGGGGCGAAAAGCCCUGAUCCCAGCCAAUGCCCGCGUGUGUGAAAGAAGGCCUUUCGGGUUGUAAAGCACUUUUGUCCGGAAAGAAAUCCUUGGGCUCUAAUACAGUCGGGGGGAUGACGGUACCGGAAGAAUAAGCACCCGGCUAACUACGUGCCAGCAGCCGCGGUAAUACGUAGGGUGCAAGCGUUAAUCGGAAUUACUGGGCGUAAAGCGUGCGCAGGCGGUUUGCUAAGACCGAUGUGAAAUCCCCGGGCUCAACCUGGGAACUGCAUUGGUGACUGGCAGGCUAGAGUAUGGCAGAGGGGGGUAGAAUUCCACGUGUAGCAGUGAAAUGCGUAGAGAUGUGGAGGAAUACCGAUGGCGAAGGCAGCCCCCUGGGCCAAUACUGACGCUCAUGCACGAAAGCGUGGGGAGCAAACAGGAUUAGAUACCCUGGUAGUCCACGCCCUAAACGAUGUCAACUAGUUGUUGGGGAUUCAUUUCCUUAGUAACGUAGCUAACGCGUGAAGUUGACCGCCUGGGGGAGUACGGUCGCAAGAUUAAAACUCAAAGGAAUUGACGGGGGACCCGCACAAGCGGUGGAUGAUGUGGAUUAAUUCGAUGCAACGCGAAAAACCUUACCUACCCUUGACAUGGUCGGAAUCCCGCUGAGAAGGUGGGAGUGCUCGAAAGAGAACCGGGCGCACAGGUGCUGCUGGGCUGUCGUCCAGCUCGUGUCCUGGAGAUGUUGGGGUUAAGUCCCCGCAACGAACCGCAACCCUUUGUCCCUUAAGUUGCUACCCCAAGAAGCACUCCUAAGGGAAACUGGCCGGGUGACAAACCCGGAGGAAAGGUGGGGGGAUGAACGUCCAAGUCCCUCAUGGGCCCCUUUAUGGGGUAGGGGGUUUUCCACCCGUCCUUACAAAUGGUGUCGGGAAACAAAAGGGGUUGGCCAACCCCCCCCAGGGGGGGAGGUUAAUUCCCCCAAAAAAACGGAAUUGUUAUUUCCCGGGUAUUGGCCUCUCUCGCCAACUCCCGUGCAAGGGGCGUGAAAAACCUGUAAUCGCGGAUCAGCAUGCCGCGGUGAAUACGUUCCCGGGUCUUGUACACACCGCCCGUCACACCAUGGGAGUGGGUUUUACCAGAAGUGGCUAGUCUAACCGCAAGGAGGACGGUCACCACUAUAGAUUCAGACUUU
rnacentral:rRNA from 1 species